GGGGGCAUGCAGAGGCAGGCAGAUCUCUGCGAGUUCAAGACAGCCAGGGCUAUGCAGAGAGACCCUGCCUUAAAAAGUGAAAAAACAAAAUAGAGCACUGUAACAGUCGGAGGCUCUAAUUUCAUCCAGAAUCUGGCAAAUCAACCUGGCAGCUAGUUCACACAGCACUUAGAAACACUAGCGUUGGGCCGGAGUGAAGGCUGCGCGGUUGAGAGCACCCACUGCUCCUGCAGAAGGCCAGUUUGAUUUCCAGCACCCAUGUUAGGCAACUCAUAACCUGCUCCAAAGGGAUCCAAAGCCUCUGGUCACCUGCAUUCACAUACACAAGCCCACACACGACAAAGACACAUAAGAUUUCAUUUUUAUUUAUUUAUUUAUUUAGGUUUUUCGAGACAGAGUUUCUCUGUAGCUUUGGAGCCUAUCCUGGAGAUAGCUCUUGUAGAAAUAAGAAGUUUAGCAUGUGAAAUCUGCAGGUAAUCUAUAGUCAUUAAAUUCUUUCAUUUAAAAAAAAGGUGGGGCUGGAGAGAUAGAUGGCUCAGCAAUUAGAGUGCUGGCUGCUCUUCCAGAGAGCCUGAGUUCAAUUCCCAGCACCCACAUGGCAGCUCACAACCCUAGCCUCUGGUUCCAGUGAUUCUGGUGCCCUCACACAGAUAUACAUGCAUGCAAAAGACCAACAUACAUAAAAAAAAAUUAUUUUUUAAAAGGUAGAGAACAACUGAACUACAGGAUUCAAUUUCAGAAAGUCAACACCAUAAGCCAGAAGGAAGACUUGUUUACAGAAGAACACCAACAAUAGGUACAACAGAAGAUAAUAGAAAGAAUAAUGUGAGCUCUUGGCUAUUCCUACCACCACGCCUUUGUUCUGCUAUGGACUCUAACCCUCUGAAAACACAAGCCAGACUAAACACUUUUCUUGGUAAGUUUCGUGGUCAUGGUGUUUUGUCACCGCGAUAGAAAAGUAACUAAGACAAGCACACACGGACACCUUCAGAUCUCCGUGUCCUGAUCCUGACUUCCCAUGACAGAUAGCUGUUUGGUGUUAGAAGAGAUUAUAAGAAAACUAUACAAGAGACUCAGGACCACUUACAAAGUCGGUCUUCCUACCUCAAAUGA